rnacentral:lncRNA from 1 species
CUAUGAGUACCCUUAGCUCAUCCCUGAGGCCAUCCUCAAAGCGAACACUGCACUCAUAUUCGGUAGAGACAAUACCACUAGCAUAUCGGCUCAAUCGUAGAAACUUUGCCUCAUAUUCAGCAACGGUCUUACCAACCUGGGUCAGGUUCAGGAAUUCCUUCCUUCGCGCAUCCACAUAGCUAGCUCCAACAUACUUCGCCUUGAAGGACUGCUUAAACAACUCCCAAAUUACCCUCUCAGUUGGGGUACCCUCUCUUAUAGUGAUCCACCACUGAUAUGCCUCGUCCCGCAGUAAGGACACCGCCCCUUUUAACUUUUGCUCCACUCAGCAGUCCAGGUCAUCCAUAAUCUGCU